rnacentral:rRNA from 1 species
AUUGAACGCUGGCGGCAUGCCUUACACAUGCAAGUCGAACGGUAACAGGACUUCGGUUGCUGACGAGUGUCGAACGGGUGCGUAAUACAUCGGAACGUGCCCGAUCGCGGGGGAUAACGAGGCGAAUGCUUUGCUAAUACCGCAUACGAUCUACGAAUGAAAGCGGGGGAUCUUCGGACCGCGCGCGGACGGUGCGGCCGAUGGCAGAUUAGGUAGUUGGUGGGAUAAAAGCUUACCAAGCCGACGAUCUGUAGCUGGUCUGAGAGGAUGAUCAGCCACGCUGGGACUGAGACACGGCCCAGACUCCUACGGGAGGCAGCAGUGGGGAAUUUUGGACAAUGGGCGAAAGCCUGAUCCAGCCAUGCCGCGUGCAGGAUGAAGGCCUUUGGAUUGUAAACUGCUUUUGUAAGGAACGAAAAGCCUCUUUCUAAUAAAGAGGGGUCAUGACGGUACCGUAAGAAUAAGCACCGGCUAACUACGUG